rnacentral:rRNA from 1 species
UACGUAGGGUGCAAGCGUUGUCCGGAAUUAUUGGGCGUAAAGAGCUCGUAGGCGGUGCUCUAAGUUCGGUGUGAAAUCUCCUGGCUUAACUGGGAGGGUGCGCCGGAAACUGGAGUGCUUGAGCGUGGGAGAGGAAAGCGGAAUUCCUGGUGUAGCGGUGAAAUGCGUAGAUAUCAGGAGGAACACCUGUGGUGUAGACGGCUUUCUGGACCAUAGCUGACGCUGAGACACGAAAGCGUGGGUAGCAAACAGG